rnacentral:rRNA from 1 species
CAGUAGCCGCGGGAAUACGUAGGUGGCAAGCGUUGUCCGGAAUUAUUGGGCGUAAAGGGCUCGCAGGCGGUUUCUUAAGUCUGAUGUGAAAGCCCCCGGCUCAACCGGGGAGGGUCAUUGGAAACUGGGAAACUUGAGCGCAGAAGAGGAGAGCGGAAUUCCACGUGUAGCGGUGAAAUGCGUAGAGAUGUGGAGGAACACCAGUGGCGAAGGCGACUCUCUGGUCUGUAACUGACGCUGAGGAGCGAAAGCGUGGGGAGCGAACAGGAUUAGAUACCCGCGUAGUCCCUGUCUCUUAUAC